GGAAGCGUGCCCGAAAGAUAAGGACCUCCUUG
rnacentral:tRNA from 1 species